ACGGAAGGCAGCAGUUGGGAAUAUUGGACAAUGGAGGAAACUCUGAUCCAGUGACGCCGCGUGAAGGAAGAAGGUCUUCGGAUUGUAAACUUCUUUGAUCAGGGACGAAUAAUGACGGUACCUGAAGAACAAGUCACGGCUAACUACGUGCCAGCAGCCGCGGUAAUACGUAGGUGACAAGCGUUAUCCGGAUUUACUGGGUGUAAAGGGCGUGUAGGCGGUUUGGCAAGUCAGAAGUGAAAUUCCCGGGCUUAACUUGGGCGCUGCUUCUGAAACUGCUUAACUUGAGUACUGGAGAGGAUAGUGGAAUUCCUAGUGUAGCGGUAAAAUGCACAGAUAUUAGGAGGAACACCGGUGGCGAAGGCGGCUAUCUGGACAGUAACUGACGCUGAGGCGCGAAAGCACGGGGAGCAAACAGGAUUAGAUACCCUGGUA
rnacentral:rRNA from 1 species